rfam:Schistosoma margrebowiei strain Zambia genome assembly, scaffold: SMRZ_scaffold0000710
AUUCAGCCGACGAGUCUGAAAUAGGACGAAAUGCGCGUCCUGGAU